rnacentral:rRNA from 1 species
AGCGGCGGACGGGUGAGUAACACGUGAGAAUCUGCCCAUUAGUGGGGGAUAACCUGGGGAAACCCAGGCUAAUACCGCAUAAUCCCUACGGGGGAAAGCAGGGGACCUUCGGGCCUUGUGCUGAUGGAUGAGCUCGCGUCGGAUUAGCUUGUUGGUGAGGUAAUGGCUCACCAAGGCGACGAUCCGUAGCUGGUCUUAGAGGAUGAUCAGCCACACCGGGACUGAGACACGGCCCGGACUCCUACGGGAGGCAGCAGUGGGGAAUCUUGGACAAUGGGGGCAACCCUGAUCCAGCCAUGCCGCGUGUGUGAAGAAGGCCUUCGGGUUGCAAAGCACUUUCAGUAGGGAGGAAGGCUUAUCCUUAAUACGGAUGAGUACUUGACGUUACCUACAGAAGAAGCACCGGCUAAUUUCGUGCCAGCAGCCGCGGUAAUACGAAAGGUGCAAGCGUUAAUCGGAAUUACUGGGCGUAAAGCGCGCGUAGGCGGUUUGCUAAGUCAGAUGUGAAAGCCCCGGGCUCAACCUGGGAACUGCAUUUGAAACUGGCAGGCUAGAAUGCAGUAGAGGGAGGUGGAAUUUCCGGUGUAGCGGUGAAAUGCGUAGAGAUCGGAAGGAACACCAGUGGCGAANGCGGCCUCCUGGACUGACAUUGACGCUGAGGUGCGAAAGCGUGGGGAGCAAAC